rnacentral:rRNA from 1 species
AUGACAGAUGUUGUUAUAGAUGCAAUGAUUGCAGAGGCAGUUCGAUCAGCAGGGCCAGAAUUUGCUGGUGAUCUCCAGUCAUUAUCUUGGUCAUCAAUGGCUGUAGGGGGGAUAUUUGGGAGCUUAUUGGGAGGAUACGCAUUGUCCAAUCUCCCAAUAAAUGCUAUUUAUAUUAUGUUCUCUGCUCUUCCACUGUUCCAACUAGUUACAUGUGUUUUCCUUAAGGAAUCUCCAAAAGGAUUUGAAAGCACGACAGAUAACGCCGCACAUGAUCAUGUUGAUGGUCAGAAUAUUGAUAGUGCUUUUGCUGGACAAGGCUCAGGUGAAUCUUUUAAAUAUGAGGGCACUAGGAAGCGAAAGGUUGCUCGUAAAAAGAGCAAAAGGAGAUCAUUAUCCAAACGAUCUGAAGCUCAUGAGAAGCACAAUAAAUCAGUUGAUUUAUACUCAUCUCUGAAAUCAGCCUUAGUCAGUUUAUGCACUGCUUUUAAGCAGCCAGCAAUUUUGCGACCUAUGGCAUGGUUUUUCAUUUCAAAUGCAGCAGUUCCAAAUAUCUCAACAGUUAUGUUCUAUUAUCAAAUGGAGGUUCUACAUCUGGAGGCAUCCUUCCUAGGGACUGCACGUGUGAUUGGGUGGUUCAGUCUAAUGCUUGGCACAUAUAUCUACAACCGCUACUUAAAGCAUACAAAACUCAGGAAUAUUCUUAUGUUUGCACAUGUUGGCCUUGUGAUAAUUACUGUAUUGGACAUUUUACUGGUGUCAAGAUUACAUAUUCAGUAUGGAAUAGCAGACAAAUACAUGGUGCUGUGGGGCUCUGCUUUGGCCGAUGCAAUCAACCAAUUCAAGAUGAUGCCGUUCCUAAUCCUCUCAGGACAGCUUUGCCCGCCUGGAAUCGAGGGCACACUGUUUGCUCUGUUCAUGUCCAUUAACAACCUCAGUUCGACAUUAGGUUCAUUCCUUGGAGCUGCAUUGACGCCAGCUUUGAACAUCUCGUCGGUACAGUUUGACAAUCUGGCGCUCGGCCUAGCUGUUCGGCUGAUCGGAACUCUCUUACCUAUCGGAUUUUUGUUUCUGAUUCCAAGGGACGUUACGGGACUAACAUCAUAG